rnacentral:rRNA from 1 species
UACGUAGGGACCAAGCGUUGUUCGGAUUUACUGGGCGUAAAGAGCGUGUAGGCGGCCAAACAGGUCCGUUGUGAAAACUGGAGGCUCAACCUCCAGACGUCGACGGAAACCGUGUGGCUAGAGUCCGGAAGAGGAGAGUGGAAUUCCUGGUGUAGCGGUGAAAUGCGCAGAUAUCAGGAAGAACACCAAUGGCGAAGGCAGCUCUCUGGGACGGUACUGACGCUGAGACGCGAAAGCGUGGGGAGCGAACAGG